CUUCUUAAGGGGAUCCAGGACCAGUCUCCAGUGCCAGAUCGUUGCUCCUCUAUGGAAUCCGUUACUACGAGUGGGCGCCUGAGUCAUCUUCGCUUCUGGAACCAAGCCUCAGAAUUCUCCCGGUCACACCAACGAGCCUCUGCCGACUCAAGCCGCACCAACCGCCGCCGAUUCAAGCUAAUCCACCAGUGACGCCACGGGCUGCAGACACAUUCAAUCAUCUUCGUGGGAAUCUCUCGGACGUGACUACUCCACCCAAACAUCUACAAAACCUAGAACCGAACAUUAAAACUCAUAACCCAUCA